UUCCAUGAAGCUGGAAUUGCUAGUAAUGGCAGGUCAGCAUACUGCCGUGAAUACGUUCCCGGGCCUUGUACACACCGCCCGUCACACCAUGAGAGUUGGAAAUACCCGAAGCCUGUGAGCUAACUUAAAGAGGCAGCAGUCGAAGGUAGAGCCAAUGAUUGGGGUGAAGUCGUAACAAGGUAGC
rnacentral:rRNA from 1 species